CUGAGUAGAAAAGAUGCAGCAGCACCUCCAACUACUUUUCCAUUAAGAUUUCCCCCUCCCAAGUGCUUUGCUGCUGCUGCUAUUAAUAUGUAUUAUUUUAAAGGGUGUCAGGACAGUUACACACUUUAAGGGCUAGUGUCAUGUUGCAGACUAAAUUCACUCUUAUUUAUAGUCAAGAAUGCAUGCAGUUAAGCUAACAAUACUUCCUCAGCUUGAGAAACUCAUAUCUAUAACUCUAGAGGGUUCUGUUGGGGCACUUUACAAGACAUAUAUGUCAGGCAUAGCAAACAUGGCACCUACCAGAUGUUGGACUACAACUCCCAUCAGUCCAGCAUGGCCAAUUGCCAAAUCCAAGAACAUCUGCACUGGAGGACACUACAUUGGCUACCCCUGAUCACUGACCAGAUCACAAAAGAGUACUUGUUUUGGGAAGAUGGUUUUGAAACAAAGUGUCAGGAUGCCCACCCUGAGAAGCAGCGUGAACUCUGACUCGAAUGAUGAAGGGCAAGCCAGAUCCACUGAAUCAGCAACACCAGAGGCAGAGGUGCUGCAUCCUGAACCAGGUCCCAGAAUCAGAGCCUGCACCCACAAGCGAGUGAGGCACCCUGAACUAGGACUUCCAUCUCCUCGGAGACUGCAGCCCCUGAGCAACAAUUGCCUUCCAGAGCAGACCAGAUGCAUCCCCAUAAGUGGCCCAUCACAGCAGGCUGAAGGGAAUUGUCCAUGGCCUGCCCUUUAAGGAAGGGGAAAUGCAUAGGAGAAGUGAUCUGGUCCUGGAGGAAUAAGUGCAGUCCUAGACUUCGUUGGAGCAAGUUGCCCAGCGCUGCAAAUAUUGGAUGGCCUUGCUCCAUUGUGGCCCAUUGGGCUUCUUGCCCAGGUCAGGUCAAGACAGAAUCAACCUGCCAACCAACCAGAGGCCUCCCUCUGCCCACCCUAGUUAUUCCUCUCCAUUUUGCAGUCUGCCUAGGCUGAUUUUGGCUUCUUUCUUAAAAAAAAAAAAAAUGGAAAAGUAUGGAACUCCAUGUAACAUGUAAUUUGAUCCUCAUACACAGUUUUUCUGUACAUAUGGUAGUUAUUUUGAUUUUAAAAAAAUUAAAUACUGGGACCAGGUUCUUGAAAUAAUUCUUGGAACGACAGGGUAUGAUCUAUCA